GAUGAACGCUAGCGGCAGGCCUAAUACAUGCAAGUCGAACGAUAGUGAGAAGCUUGCUUCUCACGAAAGUGGCGCACGGGUGCGUAACGCGUAUGCAACCUACCUUAAUCAGGGGGAUAGCCCGAAGAAAUUCGGGUUAACACCGCAUAAAAUCACAGUAUAGCAUUAUACAAUGAUCAAAUAUUUAUAGGAUUAAGAUGGGCAUGCGUGACAUUAGUUAGUUGGCGGGGUAACGGCCCACCAAGACCACGAUGUCUAGGGGAUCUGAGAGGAUGACCCCCCACGCUGGUACUGAGACACGGACCAGACUCCUACGGGAGGCAGCAGUAAGGAAUAUUGGUCAAUGGAGGCAACUCUGAACCAGCCAUGCCGCGUGCAGGAAGACAGCCCUCUGGGUCGUAAACUGCUUUUAUUCGGGAAUAAACCUAUCUACGUGUAGAUAGCUGAAUGUACCGAAGGAAUAAGGAUCGGCUAACUCCGUGCCAGCCGCCGCAGUAA
rnacentral:rRNA from 1 species